rfam:Brachypodium distachyon strain Bd21 chromosome 3, whole genome shotgun sequence.
AAUCUACUUUCUCCGUCCAACAAAAGAUGUUACAAAUUUGUCAAAAUUUGAAUGUAUCUAGACAUAAUUUGUAUAGAAGCAUUCAAAUUUAGUCAAAGUUGAGACAUCCUUUGUUGACGGAGGAAGUAGAAA